rnacentral:rRNA from 1 species
UACGAAGGGGGCUAGCGUUGCUCGGAAUUACUGGGCGUAAAGCGUGCGCAGGCGGUUUUGUAAGUCUGUCGUGAAAUCCCCGGGCUCAACCUGGGAAUUGCGAUGGAGACUGCAAGGCUGGAGUCUGGCAGAGGGGGGUAGAAUUCCACGUGUAGCAGUGAAAUGCGUAGAGAUGUGGAGGAACACCGAUGGCGAAGGCAGCCCCCUGGGUCAAGACUGACGCUCAUGCACGAAAGCGUGGGGAGCAAACAGG